GUACAAUAAGCUAAAUAAGGGCGUAUGGGGAAUGCCUAGGCUCUCAGAGGCGAUGAAGGACGUGAUAAGCUGCGAAAAGCUGCGGGGAUUGGCACAUACAAUUUGAUCCGCAGAUAUCCGAAUGGGGCAACCCACUAUAUUGAAGAUAUAGUAUCCGAAAGGAGGUGAACCCGGAGAACUGAAACAUCUAAGUACCCGGAGGAGAAGAAAACAAAAGUGAUUCCGUUAGUAGUGGCGAGCGAACGCGGAUUAGCCCAAACCAAUAUUGUUACGGCAAUGUUGGGGUUGUAGGACUACAAUAUUUGAAACUAAGUUAACUAGAAUUGUUUGGAAAGACAAACCGUAGAGAGUGAUAGUCUCGUAAAGGUAAGCGAAGUGGAGAUAGUAGUAUCCUGAGUAGUGCGGGGCACGUGUAACCCUGUGUGAAUUUGGCGGGACCAUCCGUUAAGGCUAAAUACUCCUGAGAGACCGAUAGUGAACUAGUACCGUGAGGGAAAGGUGAAAAGAACCCUGAAUAAGGGAGUGAAAUAGAACCUGAAACCAUACGCUUACAAGCGGUCGGAGCCCAUUGGGGUGACGGCGUGCCUUUUGCAUAAUGAGCCUACGAGUUACCGUUGCUAGCAAGGUUAAGCACUUCAGGUGCGGAUCCGUAGCGAAAGCGAGUCUGAAUAGGGCGCUAUAGUUAGUAGUGGUAGACGCGAAACCGUGUGAUCUACCCAUGGGCAGGUUGAAGCUGUGGUAACACACAGUGGAGGACCGAACCGGUUGACGUUGAAAAGUCUUCGGAUGACCUGUGGGUAGGGGUGAAAGGCCAAUCAAACUCGGAAAUAGCUCGUACUCCCCGAAAUGCAUUUAGGUGCAGCGUAGUAAUAGUUUUAUAGAGGUAGAGCUACUGAUUGGAUGCGGGGGCUUCACCGCCUACCAAUUCCUGACAAACUCCGAAUGCUAUAAAAUGUUUUACUGCAGUGAGGGCAUGGGUGCUAAGGUCCAUGUCCGAGAGGGAAAGAACCCAGACCAUCAGCUAAGGUCCCCAAAUGUAUGUUAAGUUGAAUAAACGAGGUGGAAUUGCUUAGACAGCUAGGAUGUUGGCUUGGAAGCAGCCAUUCAUUUAAAGAGUGCGUAACAGCUCACUAGUCGAGCGAUUCUGCAUGGAUAAUAAUCGGGCAUAAACAUACUACCGAAGCUAUGGACGAAAGUGGUAGGGGAGCAUUCUAAUUGUGUUGAAGGUGUACUGUGAGGUAUGCUGGAACGGUUAGAAAAGAAAAUGUAGGCAUAAGUAACGAUAAUGCGGGCGAGAAACCCGCACUCCGAAAGACUAAGGUUUCCUCAGCUAUGCUAAUCAGCUGAGGGUUAGUCGGGACCUAACGCGAACCCGAAAGGGGUAGUGGAUGGACAACAGGUUAAUAUUCCUGUACCUGCUCAUAUUAAAGUGACGGAGGCGUAUAUUUGGUGCGUGCUGACGGAAUAGCACGUUGAAGCCAGUGGUAACACGGCG
rnacentral:rRNA from 1 species